rnacentral:rRNA from 1 species
AUACGAAGGGAGCGAGCGUUGUUCGGAAUCACUGGGCGUAAAGGGCGUGUAGGCGGAGGAGUAAGCAAGAGGUGAAAGCCCGGGGCUCAACCCCGGAGGGUCUUCUUGAACUGCUUUUCUUGAGAGGGUCAGAGGUUAGCGGAAUUCCUGGUGUAGCGGUGAAAUGCGUAGAUAUCAGGAGGAACACCGGCGGCGAAAGCGGCUAACUGGGACCAAUCUGACGCUGAGGCGCGAAAGCAUGGGGAGCAAACAGGAUUAGAAACCCCAGUAGUCC